GGCUCUUUGAAAUAAAUAUAUAAAGAGUCGGGCCUGCCCAGUGAUCAUUUUAAACGGCCGCGGUACUCUGACCGUGCAAAGGUAGCAUAAUCAUUUGCCCUAUAAUUGAGGGCUUGUAUGAAUGGUUUGACAAGAGCAUAACUGUCUCUUUAAAAUUUUAUAGAAUUUGGUUUUUAGGUGAAGAAACCUAAAUAUAAUUGAAAGACAAGAAGACCCUAUCGAGCUUUAGAAUAAUUAGUUAAAAAUUAUAAAUUAAAAUAGUUAAUUUUAAUUAAAAACUUUGGUUGGGGCGACUGAGGAACAUAUAAAGCUUCCUUAAUCAAAAUAUGCUAAUAGGCAAUGAUCCAAAAAAAUUUGAUUAAGAAAAUUAGUUACCGUAGGGAUAACAGCAUAAUCUUUUUUGAGAGUUCUUAUCGAAAAAAAGGUUUGUGACCUCGAUGUUGGACUAGGAUAUCCUAAAAGAUGCAGAAGUCUUUAAAGGUUGGUCUGUUCGACCAUUAAAAUCCU
rnacentral:rRNA from 1 species